CCUAACACAUGCAAGUCGAACGGUAACAGGAAACAGCUUGCUGUUUCGCUGACGAGUGGCGGACGGGUGAGUAAUGUCUGGGAAACUGCCUGAUGGAGGGGGAUAACUACUGGAAACGGUAGCUAAUACCGCAUAACGUCGCAAGACCAAAGAGGGGGACCUUCGGGCCUCUUGCCAUCAGAUGUGCCCAGAUGGGAUUAGCUAGUAGGUGGGGUAACGGCUCACCUAGGCGACGAUCCCUAGCUGGUCUGAGAGGAUGACCAGCCACACUGGAACUGAGACACGGUCCAGACUCCUACGGGAGGCAGCAGUGG
rnacentral:rRNA from 1 species